rnacentral:tRNA from 1 species
GCCGAGGUGGUGAAAUUGGUAGACGCGCCGGAUUCAAAAUCCGGUUCUCUUAGGAGAGUGAGGGUUCGAUUCCCUCCCUCGGUA